AACGAACGCUGGCGGCAUGCCUAACACAUGCAAGUCGAACGAGACCUUCGGGCCUAGUGGCGCACGGGUGCGUAACGCGUGGGAACCUGCCCUUAGGUUCGGAAUAACUCCCCGAAAGGGGUGCUAAUACCGGAUAAUGUCUUCGGACCAAAGAUUUAUCGCCUUUGGAUGGGCCCGCGUUGGAUUAGCUAGUUGGUAGGGUAAAAGCCUACCAAGGCGACGAUCCAUAGCUGGUCUGAGAGGAUGAUCAGCCACACUGGGACUGAGACACGGCCCAGACUCCUACGGGAGGCGGCAGUGGGGAAUAUUGGACAAUGGGCGAAAGCCUGAUCCAGCAAUGCCGCGUGAGUGAUGAAGGCCUUAGGGUUGUAAAGCUCUUUUACCCGGGAUGAUAAUGACAGUACCGGGAGAAUAAGCUCCGGCUAACUCCGUG
rnacentral:rRNA from 1 species